rnacentral:lncRNA from 1 species
AAAAAAAAAAACAAGAAAUGUGUUCAAAUAGCAAGAGAUAAAAUCAAAUUGUCUCUGUUUGCAGAAAACGUGAUUCUAUAUCUAGAAAACCACAUUGUCACAGCCCAAAAACUCCUUAAGCUGAUAAGCAAGUUCAGCAAAGUCUGAGGAUACAAAAUCAAUGUGCAAAAAUCACAAGCAUUCUUAUACACCAGCAAUAGACAAUAUUCUUCAAUUCCUAUACACCAACAAUAGACAAGAGAGCCAAAUCAUGAAUGAACUCCCAUUCACAAUUGUUACAAAGAGAAUAAAAUACCUAGGAAUACAGCUAACGAUGGGUGUGAAGAACCUCUUCAAGGAGAACUACAAGCCACUGCUCAAAGAAAUAAGAGAGGACACAAACAAAUGGAAAAAUAUUCCAUGCUCAUGGGUGGGAAGAAUCAGUCUCAUGAAAAUGGCCAUACUGCCCAAAGUAAUUUAUAGAUUCAGUGCUAUUCACAUCAAACUACCAUUGACAUUCUUCACAGAAUUAUAAAAAAACUACUUUAAAUUUCAUAUGCAACCAAAAAAGAGACUGAAUAGUCAAGACAAUCCUAAGCAAAAAGAACAAAGCUGGAGGCAUCAUGCUAUAUGACUUCAAACUAUACUGCAAGGCCACACUAAUCAAAACAGCAUGGUACUGAUACCAAAAUAGACACACAGACCAAUGGAACAGAAUAGAGAUCUCAGAAAUAAGACCACACAUCUACAACCAUCUGAUCUUUGACAAACCUGACAAAAACAAGCAAUAGGGGAAGGAAUACCUAUUUAUUUAUUUAUUUAUUUAUUUUGAGACAAAGUCUCACUCUGUCACCAGGCUGGAGUGCAGUGGCAUGAUCUCAGUUCACUGCAACCUCUGCCUCCCGGAUUCAAGCGAUUCUCCUGCCUCAGCCUCCCGAGUAGCUGGGACUACAGGUUCGAGCCACCACGCCCAGCUAGUUUUUGUAUUUUUAGUAGAGACGGGAUUUCACCAUGUUGGCCAGGAUGGUCUUGAUCUCUUGACCUCAAGAUCCACCCGCAUCAGCCUCCCAAAGUGCUGAGAUUAUAGAUGUGAGCCACCGCACUUGGCCAGGAUUCCCUAUUUAAAUGGUGCUGGGAAAACUGACUAGCCAUAUGCAGAAAACUGAAACUGGACCUCAUCCUUACACCUUAUGCAAAAAUUAACUCAAGAUGGAUUAAAAACUUAAAUGUAAAACCCCAAACCGUAAAAAACCCUAGAAGAAAAUCUAGGAAGUUCCAUUCAGGACAUAGGCAUAGGCAAAGAUUUUAUGAUGAAAUCAUCAAUAGCAAUUGCAACAAAAGCAAAAAUUGACAAAUGGGAUCUAAUUAAAUGUAAGCACUUCUGCACAGGGAAAGAAACUAUCAUCAGAGUGAACAAGCAACCUACAGAAUGGGAGAAUAUUUUUGCCAUCUACCAAUCUGACAAAGGUCUAAUAUCCAGAAUCUACAAGGAACUUAAACAAAUUUACAAGAAAAUAAUAACCCCAUCAAAAUGUGGGCAAAGGCCAUGAACAGACAUUCUGAAAAGAAGACAUUUAUGCGUCCAACAAACAUAUGAAAAAAAAAAAAGCUCAACAUCAGUGUUUAUUAGAGAAAUGCAAAUCAAAACCACAAUGAGAUACCAUCUCAUGCCAGUCAGAAUGGCAAUUAUUAAAAAGUCAAGAAACAACAGAUGCUAGAGAGGCUAUGGAGAAACAGGAACACUUUUAUACUGUUGGUGGGAACGUAAACUAGUUCAACUAUUGUGGAAGACAGUGUGGCAAUUCCUGAAGGAUCUAGAAGCAGAAAUACCAUUUGACCCAGCAAUCCCAUUACUAGGUUUAUAUCCAAAGAAAUCUAAAUCAUUCUGUUUUAAAGAUACAUGCACACUUAUGUUUAUUGCAGCACUAUUCACAAUAGCAAAGACAUGGCAUCAACCCAAAUUUCUAUCAAUGAUAGAUUGGAUAAAGAAAAUGUGAUACAUAUACACCAUGGAAUACUAUGCAGCCAUAAAAAGGAAUGAGAUCAUGUCUUUUGCAGGGACAUGGAUGAAGCUGGAAGCCAUAAACUUCAGCUAAUUAACACAGGAACAGGAAACCAAACACCACAUGUUCUCAUAAGUGGGAACCGAACAAUGAGAACACAUGGACACAGGGAGGGGCAGAAAACACACCGGAGCCUGUUGGGAAGGUAGGGGGAAGGAGAGCAUCAAGAUAAAUAGCUAAUGCAUGUGGGGCUUAAUACCUAGGUGAUAGGUUGAUAGGUGCAGCAAACCACCAUGGCACAUGUUUAACUAUGUAACAAACCUGCACAUCCUGAACAUGUAUCCUGGAACUUAAAAUAAAAUAGAAAAGACAAAGAAGGAUAUUACAUAAUGGCAAAGGCUUCAAUUCAACAAGAAGACCUAACUAUCCUAAAUAUAUAUUCAUCCAACACAGGAGCACCCAGAUUCAUAAGUAAAGUUCUUAGAGACCUACAAAGUAUGUUUCACAGUAAUAGUGGGAGACUUCCACACUCCAAUGACAGUAUUAGACAGAUCAUUGAGGCAAAAAAAUGAACAAAGAUAUUCAGGACCUGAACUCAACAUUGGAUCAAAUGGAUCUGAUAGACCUUUACAGAACUCUGCACUCAAAAACAACAGAAUAUGCAUUCCUCACAUCAUCAUAUGCCACAUACUCUAAAAUCAACCACAUAAUUGGACAUAAAGCAAUCCUCAGCAAAUGCAAAACAACUGAACUCAUACCAAAUACACACUGAGAUCACAGUGCAGUAAAAAUAGAAGACUAAGAAAAUUGCUGAAAAUCAUGCAAUUACAUGGAAAUCAAUCAACAUGCUCCUGAAUGACUUUUUAAUAAAUAAUGAAAUUAAGGCAGAAAACAAGAAGUUCUUUGAAAAUAAUGAGAACAAAGUUGCAACAUACUACAGCCUCUGGACAUAGCUAAGGCAAUGUUAGGAGGGAAAUUUAUAGCACUAAAUCCCACAUCAAAAAGUUAGGAAGAACUCAAAUUAAUAACCUAACAUCACAACGGAAAGAACUAGAGAAGCAAGACAAAACCCCAAAGCUAGAGGAAGACAAGAAAUAACUGAAAAUCCGAGCUGAAUUGAAAGAAACCGAGACAUGAAGAAAAAAAAAUUCAAAAGAUCUACGAAUUCAGGGUAGGUUUCUUGAAAAUAUUAAUAAGAAAGUCUGCUAGCAGACUAAUACAGAGGAUGAUUGAAAUAAACACAAUUAGAAAUGACAAAGGGAAUGUUACCACUGACCCCACAGAAAUAGAAACAACCAUCAGAAACUACUGCAAACACUUCUAUGCAUACAAACUAGAAAACUUCAAAGAGAUGGAUAAAUUCCUGGACAAAUACACCCUCCCACAACUGAGCCAGGAAGAAAUUGAUUUACUGAACAGACCAAUAACAAGCUCCGAAAUUGAAUCAGUAAUAAAUAACCUACCAAUCAAAAAAAGCCCAGAACAUGAUGGAUUCCCAGCCAUAUUCUACUAGAAAUACAAAGAAGAGCUGGUACCAUUUUUACAGGAACUAUUUGAAAAUAUUGAGGAGGAGGAACACCUCCCCAACUCAUUCUAUGAGGCCAACAUCAUCUUGAUACCAAAAUCUGGCACACACACACACACACACACACACACACACACACACACAAACUUCAGGCCAAUACCCUUGAUGAACAUCAAUGCAAAAAUCCUCAACAAAAUACUGGCAAACCAAAUCCAGCAGCACAUCAAAAAGUUAAUCCAUCAUGAUCAAGUAUGCUUCAUCCCCAGGAUGCAAGGUUGCCUCAACAUACACAUGUCAAUUAAUCUGAUUCAUCCCAUAAACAAAACUAAAGAUAAAAACCAUGUGAUUAUCUCAAUAUAUGCAGAAAAGGCUUUCAAUAAAAUUCAAGGCCUCUCCAUAUUAAAAACUCUAAAAAAUCUGGGUAUUGAGGAAACAUAGCUCAAAGUGAUGAGCUGUUUUUGUACCAGUAUCAUGCUGUUUUGGUUACUGUAGCCCUGUAGUAUAGUUUGAAGUUGGGUAACAUGAUGCCUCCAGCUUCGUUCUUUUUGCUGAGGAUUGCUUGGCUAUUAGGGCUCUUUUUUUUUUUGGUUCCAUAUGAAUUUUGAAAUAGUUUGCUCUAGUUCUGUGAGGAAUGCCAUUGGUAAUUUAAUAGGGAUAACUUGCAUCUGUAAAUUACUUUGGGCAGUAUAGCCAUUUUAAUGAUGUUAAUUCUUCCUAUCCAUGAGCAUGAAAUGUUUUUCCAUUUGUUUGUGUCUUCUCUGAUUUCUUUGAACAGUGUUUUGUAAUUCUCCUAGAGAUCUCUUAGAGAUCUUUCACCUCCCUGGUUAGCUGUAUUCCUAGGUAUUUAUUUUUUCUGUGUGUAGCAAUUAUGAAUGGGAUUGUGUUCUUCAUUUGACUCUCUGCUUUACUGCUAGGAAUUUUUGCACAUUGAUUUUGUAUGCUAAGACUUUGCUAAAGUUUAUCAGCAGAAGGAGCUUUGGGGCUAAGACUAUGGGGUUUUCUAGAUAUAGAAUCAUGUCAUCUGUAAACAGAGACAGUUUGACUUCCUGUCUAUUCCUCUCUUCCCUCCUCUGUUUGGAUGCCCUUCCAGUUUUGCACAUUCAGUGUAAUGUUGGCUGUGGGUUUGUCAUGGCUAGCUCUCAUCAUUUUGGCACUUCCGACUAGAAGUGCAAGAGGGGCCAGUGUUGUUGUUACCUGAAAGGUAAGUGCAGCCCACAAAAAUGCAGUGAAGAAGAAGAUAUAUGCAUAUGUUUAAGUUAAUACAAUUGAGAUACAUUUAGCAGACAGAAUCAAUAGAGUUGAUGAGUGACUGACUGGAUGUGUGGGGAGUUUAUAUCACUCCCAGGUUUUUGACUUGGGCAACUGGGCACUCAAGAAGGAAAAAGAGGAUCCAGGGAGAGGAACUUUUCUGAGGACUGGGGUAGGGCUGAACAGCUGCAUUCGAGACUGGUGGAGGGUGGGCUGGGCAUGGGAUGCACAAAUGGAGAUUCCACUGGGUCUGCAGCUCACACAUAGGCAUGACCAGCAUAGAGAUAGAGAGGCCCCAGUGCUGCUGAGUAACUGUGAUUCCCCAGGUGAUGGCAUCAGCUGAGAAGGGAAGGAAGCCUAUGUGAGGACACUGAAGAAGGAGUGAGCAGACAAUAAGAAGCCCACAGAAGACAGAGAAGGAACAACUAGAGGGAGAAGCCAAGGCAGGCAUGUGUGGUAACAUAUAGGAACUGAGGGAGAGGACAUUUCAAGAUGGAGAGGAUGCCAUACAACAGGACUAUGUGAUGGUUUUUGGCUGUGUCCAUAGGAAGUCACAACAGGCAAGGGAAAGAAACCAGAACCCAGUCAUGGAGUUAAGAAGUGAGUCAGAGAGGAGAUGGGUAGGGACAGUGAGGUAAGGCCUCUUUUUAAGGAAGUUUGGCUGAAGGAUAGACUAGCUGGACAUAUAUGCUGGCUGUGUGGGGUAGAGGGAGGAAUGAUGGAGGGUAGGAGAGCCUUGAGCCUGCGAGAAGAGUCUCCUAGAAUAGAGAAGCUGAGGUUAAAGUUGUGGAAGACAGUGGGGAUAACUGAGUGACAGAUAAUCAGGAGAAGAAAAGGAGAUCCAGAAUCAUGACAGAGAGAUGACCUUUGCCAAGAGCACAGCCAUCUUUCACUGCACAGAGAGGUAGGACAAAACGAUUGGUGUUCAAGAAUUGGUUUGUAGCACAAUAUUUUAACUAUGUCCUUUAAAAAGUUUCUCCACAGACACUACCCAAAGCAGUCCUUCACUACAGUGGCAGACAGACCUGAAAAUUUUCAUCUGAAGCAGCAGAGUGAACUGCAGAGUCAGGUCACCAACCAGUGUGGAGGCUAAAAGCGGGCCUCUUCGGGGAUUCCAGGUGGAAGUGUUGGACAUCUGUAGUAUUCCUGGUCUCGAAUCAUCCUGAUAUUCUUCAUUUUGUUAUUCACAUUGGACUAGGGCAAGGAAAUGAGUUCUGGUCAGAGUCAAUGUUUCCCAACAAUGUUGAUUUAUUUGGUCCUAAAUAUUUAAACACAUUUUAUAAAUAGCUUUUCCACACCACAUAUAUAGGGAAAAACGGAAUUAACUUGGCCCAGCAGCACUGUUUGUGGGGCUAACAACCUGUGUAUCUCACACCAACCCUAAGCUUUGUUUCCCUCCUGUCACUUUGCUCCUAUUUCUUUCAUAUGAAAGAAUGUUCAUUUUCUUUGAAAAUGAGCUCAUUUCCUCAUUUUCUUUCCAUCUUUCAGCAGGAACAAAGAUCACCACAACUGGCUCCCCUUCAACUAUGUUAGAUGGCAACUUGCAUUCAGUAUGGUGAAACACAUCAGUUAAGACUGGGGUUGUGCAUGGCAGGACUUUCUACAAGGACACCCAGUCUCCUUAAUAAACAUGAGAUGCUCUCUUUCCAGAAGUUCUCUUGCCUGACACAGCAUAGGAAGAUGCUGAACGGCCACACAGUGAUCCAUUGGUCAGUGGUGAUAGAUAGAAUCUCACUAUGUUGACCAGGCUGGUCUUGAACUCUUGGCACCCAAGCGAUCCUUUUGCCUGGAAUCCCAAAGUGUCAGAUUUACUGAAGAAUAUUUCAUUGUAAUUACUUUUUAUACUUUAUAGGUCAAGAGCUCUGUUUUAAAGACAAA